rnacentral:rRNA from 1 species
AUUGAACGCUGGCGGCAUGCUUUACACAUGCAAGUCGAACGGUAACAGGCCGCAAGGUGCUGACGAGUGGCGAACGGGUGAGUAAUGCAUCGGAACGUGCCCAGUCGUGGGGGAUAACGCAGCGAAAGCUGCGCUAAUACCGCAUACGAUCUAUGGAUGAAAGCGGGGGACCGUAAGGCCUCGCGCGAUUGGAGCGGCCGAUGUCAGAUUAGGUAGUUGGUGGGGUAAAGGCUCACCAAGCCAACGAUCUGUAGCUGGUCUGAGAGGACGACCGGCCAUACUGGGACUGAGACACGGCCCAGACUCCUACGGGAGGCAGCAGUGGGGAAUUUUGGACAAUGGGCGCAAGCCUGAUCCAGCAAUGCCGCGUGCAGGAAGAAGGCCUUCGGGUUGUAAACUGCUUUUGUACGGAACGAAACGGCUCUGGUUAAUACCUGGGGCUAAUGACGGUACCGUAAGAAUAAGCACCGGCUAACUACGUGCCAGCCGCCGCCGUAAUAC